rnacentral:rRNA from 1 species
UCAGUAACACGUAGUCAACAUGCCCAGGGGACGUGGAUAACCUCGGGAAACUGAGGAUAAACCGCGAUAGGUCACUACUUCUGGAAUGGGUAAUGACCCAAACCUAUAUGGCCCCUGGAUUGGACUGCGGCCGAUCAGGCUGUUGGUGAGGUAAUGGCCCACCAAACCUGUAACCGGUACGGGCUCUGAGAGGAGGAGCCCGGAGAUGGGCACUGAGACAAGGGCCCAGGCCCUAUGGGGCGCAGCAGGCGCGAAACCUCUGCAAUAGGCGAAAGCUUGACAGGGUUACUCUGAGUGAUUUCCGUUAAGGAGAUCUUUUGGCACCUCUAAAAAUGGUGCAGAAUAAAGGUGUGGCAAGUCUGGUGCCAGC